rfam:Oryza sativa (indica cultivar-group) chromosome 3, whole genome shotgun sequence.
AUCCCAUGAUAAGGACAAGCGGCCACGAAUUCCUAUAGACGUUCCCAUGCUUCACGAAUAGACUCAUCGCUUGCCUACUGGAAACUUGAAAUCCUUCCACGAAGGGC